rnacentral:lncRNA from 1 species
UACACCGAUUUUUGCAUGAUCUUCAAAAACUCCAAACCCACUAGUUUUUAUUCAAACAAGCAGGUAACAGUGAAAACACCGCGUACAAUGAAUCACUAUAAGAUGGCAUCUCUCAUUUUAAUGAACAGCAUUGGACGAGAGUAUCGAGGUUCAUGGUAAGACCGUGGUUGAAGGGAAACCUUGACACAAGCACUAAAAGCAACAAACUAGAUGCAUACGUACAGGCCUUUCUACUAACACCACCCCCUUCAAUCAAUGCCCCCAUUUCCCCAUUUUCAAAGUCGUAAUCUUUCUCUUUUUGUAUGCACGAU